UCCCCCCCCCCUCUGAUUCGAAUUCCCCCCCCCCCCCACCCCACGUUCUCCCUUCGUGCCAUCGCCCCUCCGCCCGCCUUCACCCACGACAUUCAAGUCAUAUUUUUUCAACUUGCAGUACGUCAGCCACAAUCUAGUGCUGCUGACAACUCCGAUUGACCGAACAAACUCACACCCAAGUUCUCUCUCUCUCUCUCACUGUACAUGGCUGGGUUAUUUUUACACUUAUUUUACAUAUCUCCUCUUCUUUCUUCUGUGUUUGUGUUUGUUUGUACAUGGCUGAGUUGUUAUCGUGAACAUGUUAGAUUUUAUAUGGUCCAACUCUGUCUUCUUAAUUUGGGUUUUUCUCAAAUACAAAACAAUGUAAUUUCAUGACGUAGAAUUCUUGGUACUGAGUUGGGACUUCAUGGGGGACUUUGGGUUCGAUUUCAUGGGAUGAAGAAGGGGAAGGAAGGACGAAAGUGUUGAGGAGCAGAAAGAAGAAGAGAACGGUGCAGAUCAAGUACUUCAAGUUCUGGUUCAAACCCAUGAGAGAGGAAAUAGUUUGGGGGAUAUUAUGAUCCAAAAAAUUUAUACUACCCAUCAUUUAUGAUGCAUCCAAAUGCAUAUCCAAAUUCAUAUACAUACGCAUGGGGUAGCUAGCCUCCAUCAAUGCCACCUUUUGGAACAACGAUCCUCUACCCUCCGUCAAGUAAUGCAGAGGAAGGUUCUGCAUGUGGAAAAUGCUGAGACUAAGAGAAAGAAGAAGGUUGCCAACAAAAAGGAAGGUUCCGCCUGUGAAGAAGGUUGCGACCAAGAGAAAGAAGAAAUAGGUAAGAAAUUUUUUUCAUAUUAAUUUUAUAUUUAUUCAACUGCAUAUAUAUUUCUUUCUAAUGGAUGUGUAUUUUUGUAACACCUGAACUCAACCAAGCUCAAUUUUUAAAUAGUUUUGGGCUUAUGCGUA